AUAUAUCAAUGCAUGAUAACUAGAGUGAUUAUACUCUUCAGUAACAGGUGAGUAAAUGUAACAAUAUAUAGUACAAUUUUAUAAUAGAAUUACUUAUACACAUCACGUAAAAUUGUCUCUUUUGAUUUACAGGAAUCCUACUAGUAGUGUAAUCUGUAGAAGAUAGCAUUUAUGAAAGUUUUGUGUGCUCUACCUGAUAGAGUACAAUUAUAUGACAUCUUAAAGAGAUCGGUGAGGCAUUAUUACGGUCCACAUAUGAAAAACAUGAACACCCGGUUAUCUAUAUGAUGUGAAUUUAUCCUUUGAAUAAAAAAAAAUAUUAGCAUAA